UUUUUUUGUUGGUGCACAAGGAUGCCAGAUUUUGAGAAUUUAGGGGGGUGGGGUUAAGUGAGGUUAGUGGCGGGUUUGACGUAAGUCAAUCACUUCUCCACUAGUGAUAGGGUUAGAAGAAUGAGUGAGUUUGCUAGAGGCUGCAUUUUCCAGGCGAACGUUUGCAAUUGCAGGAAGGAAAUUGUAUGAAUGAUGAUGGAUGGUAGAUGUGAGAAAUGUGGGGGUACGAAUGUGGGGGUGUUUCUGAAUGGUAAUUUUUGUUGAACAUUGUGUUGUGAUGGGGCUACCAACCCUUAACUGUUUGGAGUUUAAAUUGGAAGUGCCCUUCUGGUACGAGGCCUGACCGGAGGCUUUUAAUCUGGUACCACGGGUAACCAGGAGCCCACGGAACUUGUUCCGUCCUGGUUAGUUGGUGCGGCCCUUCGGGGAGUAUCGUGGUGGUUGUGGUUUAACACCCAAAUGCGGGUAGAGCAUCGCUCGACGUGGAGUUGCGUCAUACAACCGGGUUCCGUGACCCAGAUUACGGAAGAGGCUUAGAUAGUCCUCGUGCCAAACCAAGGUAGAAGUCACAACCAAACAGUCGUGUCUUUAAUUGGUACCUGCGGAAUUGUUCCAAGGGGGCGGUGAUUGACGCUUGAAUUAAUCCUAUACUAGGAACCGUGAGAUUAAGCCAUCGCGGCAGGUGCUCACGUUAAGCCCACUGACUUUCAUGUCCCUAUCUACUAUCUAGCGAAACCACAGCCAAGGGAACGGGCUUGGAAUAAUUAGCGGGGAAAGAAGACCCUUUUGAGCUUGACUCUAAUCUGGCAGUGUAAGGAGACAUAAGAGGUGUAGAAUAAGUGGGAGAUAUUAGACUUCGGUUUGGUAUCGACAAUGAAAUACCACUACUCUUAUUGUUUCCUUACUUACUUGAUUAAAUGGAACGUGUAUCAUUUCCUAGCCAUUAUACGGAUAUAAUUAUUAUGUCUUAUGGUAUUGGGUUUUGAUGCAAGCUUCUUGAUCAAAGUAUCACGAGUUUGUUAUAUAAUCGCAAACAAAUUCUUUAAUGAGAGAAUGCAUUUAUGUAUU
rnacentral:ncRNA from 1 species